rnacentral:rRNA from 1 species
CCCGCUGAACUUAAGCAUAUCAAUAAGCGGAGGAAAAGAAACUAACAAGGAUUCCCCUAGUAACUGCGAGUGAAGCGGGAAAAGCUCAAAUUUCAAAUCUGGCGGUCCCGCCGCCCGAGUUGUAUUCUGGAGAAGCGUCUUCUGCGCCGGACCGUGUACAAGUGCCUUGGAACAGGACGUCACAGAGGGUGAGAAUCCCGUCUUUGACACGGACCUCCGGCGCUCCGCGAUGCGCUCUCGAAGAGUCGAGUUGUUUGGGAAUGCAGCUCAAAACGGGUGGUAAAUUCCAUCUAAAGCUAAAUAUUGGCGAGAGACCGAUAGCGAACAAGUACCGUGAGGGAAAGAUGAAAAGCACUUUGGAAAGAGAGUAAAACAGUACGUGAAAUUGUUAAAAGGGAAACGCUUGAAGUCAGUCACGUUUGCUUGGACUCAGCCUUACUUCGGUUUGGUGCAUUUCCUUGCAGACGGGCCAGCGUCCAUGUUGUUUGCCGGAGAAGGGGUGAGAGAAUGUGGCUCCUUUGGGAGUGUUAUAGCUCUUGCUCGUAUGCGGGGAAUGAUAUGGAGUGGUACAGCACACUUUGGUGGUGCUUGUGCUGGCAUAAUGGCUUUAAACGACCCGUCUUGAAACACGG